rnacentral:rRNA from 1 species
CCUACGGGAGGCAGCAGUGGGGAAUAUUGCACAAUGGGCGAAACCCUGAUGCAGCGACGCCGCGUGAGUGAAGAAGUAUUUCGGUAUGUAAAGCUCUAUCAGCAGGGCAGAAAAUGACGGUCCCUGAUUAAGAAGCCCCGGCUACCUACGUGCCAGCAGCCGCGGUAAUACGUAGGGGGCAAGCGUGAUCCGGAUUUACUGGGUGGAAAGGGAGCGUAGACGGCAGCACAAUUCUGGAGUGAAAUGCCGGGGCUUAACCCCGGAACUGCUUUGGAAACUGUGCAGAUAGAGUGCAGGAGAGGUAAGUGGAAUUCCUAGUGUAGCGGUGAAAUGCGUAGAUAUUAGGAGGAACACCAGUGGCGAAGGCGGCUUACUGGACUGUAACUGACGUUGAGGCUCGAAAGCGUGGGGAGCAAACAGGAUUAGAUACCCGUGUAGUC